rnacentral:lncRNA from 1 species
CAUGUGGUAUCAGAGCCAUUCUAGAUUUAAUUAAAUCACCCAUUAGGCGUUUGGAAAAGUUAUGAACAUAUACGGCUUAACCGUUUUAAAGAGUGUUCAUGAUCGGGAACGUACGGAUUCGUAAUCUCAUAAAAACGGCAUCGUAACUAUACGGUAGUGUGUUUAAUAUCUACGGAAAUUAUGCCAUCACGAAAAGCGUUGUUGUCUUUAAAAGUUAUUAGUGACUUGGUGUACACCAUUAACAUAAAGUAAAGCAACAACGAAGAAGAUAAACAUGUGUGAUAAAAGUUUUUCUUAAUUAAUGCAAAGGUGCGCAUAAAUGAACGUAGCAUGUCGUAUAAGAGUAUAAUCUAUUUAUUUAAAAGUUUCAACCUGAAAUCUGGGUUUCAAGUAACAAAACGUAGGCACAUGCAUG